AUUGAACGCUGGCGGCAGGCCUAACACAUGCAAGUCGAGCGGAUGAAGGGAGCUUGCUCCUGGAUUCAGCGGCGGACCGGUGAGUAAUGCCUAGGAAUCUGCCUGGUAGUGGGCGAUAACGCACGGAAACGGGCGCUAAUACCGCAUACGUCCUGAGGGAGAAAGUGGGGGAUCUUCGGACCUCACGCUAUCAGAUGAGCCUAGGUCGGAUCACAUAGUUGGUGGGGUAAAGGCCUACCAAGGCGACGAUCCGUAACUGGUCUGAGAGGAUGAUCAGUCACACUGGAACUGAGACACGGUCCAGACUCCUACGGGAGGCAGCAGUGGGGAAUAUUGGACAAUGGGCGAAAGCCUGAUCCAGCCAUGCCGCGUGUGUGAAGAAGGUCUUCGGAUUGUAAAGCACUUUAAGUUGGGAGGAAGGGCAGUAAGUUAAUACCUUGCUGUUUUGACGUUACCAACAGAAUAAGCACCGGCUAACUUCGUG
rnacentral:rRNA from 1 species